rnacentral:rRNA from 1 species
GACGAACGCUGGCGGCGUGCCUAAUACAUGCAAGUAGGACGCAGUUGCGAACGGGUGAGUAAAGCGUAGGUAACUACCCAUUAGAGGGGGAUAACUAUUGGAAACGAUAGUUAAUACCGCAUACUAGUAGAUGGACCUGCCUGGUAUUAGUUAGUAGGUAGGGUAAUGGCCUACCUAGGCAACGAUACAUAGACGGCCGUGGAGGGUGGUCGGCCCCACUGGGACAGGGACCCGGCCCAGACUCCUAACGGGAGGAGGAAGUGGGAAUCUUUGGCAAAGGGGGGAAACCUGAACAGGCAAAGCCGGGUUAAGGGAGAAGGGUUUCGGAACGUUAAGCUCUGGUGGUAAGGGAGCGGUACCUAACCAGAAAGGGACGGCUAACUACGUGCCAGCAGCCGCGGUAAUUC